rnacentral:rRNA from 1 species
UCGGGAAUUUUGUGCAAUGGGCGAAAGCCUGACACAGCAACGCCGCGUGAAGGAUGAAGUCCCUCGGGAUGUAAACUUCGUAAGAAUAGGAAGAAUAAAUGACGGUACUAUUUGUAAGGUCCGGCUAACUACGUGCCAGCAGCCGCGGUAAUACGUAGGGACCAAGCGUUGUUCGGAUUUACUGGGCGUAAAGGGUGCGUAGGCGGCAUAUCAAGUCACUUGUGAAAUCUCCGGGCUUAACUCGGAACUGCCAAGUGAUACUGAUGUGCUAGAGUGCAGAAAGGGCAACUGGAAUUCUUGGUGUAGCGGUGAAAUGCGUAGAUAUCAAGAGGAACACCUGAGGUGAAGACGGGUUGCUGGGCUGACACUGACGCUGAGGCGCGAAAGCCAGGGGAGCAAACGGGAUUAGAUACCCAAGUAGUCCCUGAGCGGGCUGGCAAGGCGCAU